rnacentral:rRNA from 1 species
CCUACGGGGUGCUGCAGUGGGGAAUAUUGGACAAUGGGCGAAAGCCUGAUCCAGCCAUGCCGCGUGUGUGAAGAAGGCCUUCGGGUUGUAAAGCACUUUCAGUGGGGAAGAAAGCCUUGGGGCUAAUACCCUCGAGGAAGGACAUCACCCACAGAAGAAGCACCGGCUAACUCCGUGCCAGCAGCCGCGGUAAUACGGAGGGUGCGAGCGUUAAUCGGAAUUACUGGGCGUAAAGCGCGCGUAGGCGGUCUGAUAAGCCGGUUGUGAAAGCCCCGGGCUCAACCUGGGAACGGCAUCCGGAACUGUCAGGCUAGAGUGCAGGAGAGGAAGGUAGAAUUCCCGGUGUAGCGGGGAAAUGCGUAGAGAUCGGGAGGAAUACCAGUGGCGAAGGCGGCCUUCUGGACUGACACUGACGCUGAGGUGCGAAAGCGUGGGUAGCAAACAGGAUUAGAUACCCAGUAGUC